UUGUGACACACGGAACUAUUUAUCGGGAAUAUGGCGCCCGGGCUCAUAUUAGCGGUCGGACACAGAAACAUUCUCUCUCGUUUGUGCUUAUUUAACAAUCUUUGUUCAAAUAUUCUGAUUAUAGUCACCUGGAAUUGGUGUGUGUGGUGGUGCAGUCACUAGCUGAGGGAGCUGCAAUUCAUACUUACCUGGCAGGGGAGAUACCAUGAUCAAGAAGGUGGUUCACCCAGGGCGAGGCUCAGCCAUUGCACUCCGGCUGUGCUGACCCCUGCGAAUUCCCCAAAUGUGGGAAUCUCGACUGCAUAAUUUGUGGUAGUGGGGGACUGCGUUCGCGCUCUCCCCUGAUA